CUGAUGGGCAUCUCCACAGUCAGACACAGAGGCAUCUUUGCUGUGUUCUGGGUCAGAAUGAGCACUGUGUGAUUUAUAUCUGUGUUCAUUUCAGAUGUUAAAUGUACACACAGUAUGUGUGUCCACCAGAUGUUUUCAAACAUUGUGACUGGAAUCAGGAGAGUGUUACUGGCGACACUGGUAGUGUCCUUUGUCUCCCUGGUGGUACUUGUUGGUGGAGAGAUGGUGAAUUCACUCUGGAGCACUCGAUUUCUAAUUCCAUGGGAGUUGGUACUGAUUAUCUUUGCCACUCUGUCAUCAGUGCAGUUUGAUCUGUCCGUCUCUCACCUCCCUCCCUUCCAUCAUUUUCUGUCUCUAAGGAGCUAUUAUUGA
rnacentral:lncRNA from 1 species